AAAUUGAAGAGUUUGAUCAUGGCUCAGAUUGAACGCUGGCGGCAGGCCUAACACAUGCAAGUCGAACGGUAACAGGAAACAGCUUGCUGUUUCGCUGACGAGUGGCGGACGGGUGAGUAAUGUCUGGGAAACUGCCUGAUGGAGGGGGAUAACUACUGGAAACGGUAGCUAAUACCGCAUAAUGUCGCAAGACUAAAGAGGGGGACCUUCGGGCCUCUUGCCAUCGGAUGUGCCCAGAUGGGAUUAGCUAGUAGGUGGGGUAACGGCUCACCUAGGCGACGAUCCCUAGCUGGUCUGAGAGGAUGACCAGCCACACUGGAACUGAGACACGGUCCAGACUCCUACGGGAGGCAGCAGUGGGGAAUAUUGCACAAUGGGCGCAAGCCUGAUGCAGCCAUGCCGCGUGUAUGAAGAAGGCCUUCGGGUUGUAA
rnacentral:rRNA from 1 species